rnacentral:RNase_P_RNA from 2 species
AGAGUUGGUCAGGCAGUCGCUUUUUUACUUUGCAAUACAAGUAAAACAGAGGAAAGUCCGGGCUCCAAAGGGCAAGGUACCAGAUAACUCCUGGGGGGUGUGAGCCCACGGAAAGUGCAACAGAAAAUAAACCGCCCCUCACCUAGAAUCAUAGGUUGUAGGUGAGGGGUAAGGGUGAAAUGGUGCGGUAAGAGCGCACCGCGCGACUGGUAACAGAAGCGGCAUGGUAAACCCUACCUGGAGCAAGAUCAAAUAGAGGAGCUGACUCGUGGCCCGCGGGGCUCCUGGGUAGAUUGCUUGAGCCAUAAGGUGACUUAUGGCCUAGAUGAAUGACUGUCCACGACAAAACCCGGCUUAUCGACCAACUCUACUU